CCUANGGGCGGCAGCAGUCGAGAGGCUUCGGCAAUGGGGGAAACCCUGACCGAGCGACGCCGCGUGGAGGAAGAAGGCCUUCGGGUUGUAAACUCCUUUUAGUGGGAACGAAAGUUCAUCUGGUCAAUACCCAGGUGAUUUGACGGUACCUUCAGAAGAAGCACCGGCUAACUCCGUGCCAGCAGCCGCGGUAAUACGGGGGGUGCAAACGUUGUUCGGAAUCACUGGGCGUAAAGAGCGCGUAGGCGGUUUUAUAAGCCAGAUGUGAAAUCCCCGGGCUCAACCUGGGAACUGCAUUGUGGAACUGUAAGACUAGAGUGUAGCAGAGGGGGGUAGAAUUCCACGUGUAGCAGUGAAAUGCGUAGAUAUGUGGAGGAAUACCAAUGGCGAAGGCAGCCCCCUGGGUUAACACUGACGCUCAUGCACGAAAGCGUGGGGAGCAAACAGGAUUAGAUACCCGGNUANUC
rnacentral:rRNA from 1 species